GAGGAAUAUUGGUCAAUGGGUGCAAGCCUGAACCAGCCAUCCCGCGUGAAGGAUUAAGGUCCUAUGGAUUGUAAACUUCUUUUGUAUAGGGAUAAACCUACCCUCGUGAGGGUAGCUGAAGGUACUAUACGAAUAAGCACCGGCUAACUCCGUGCCAGCAGCCGCGGUAAUACGGAGGGUGCAAGCGUUAUCCGGAUUUAUUGGGUUUAAAGGGUCCGUAGGCGGACUUAUAAGUCAGUGGUGAAAUCCUUUCGCUUAACGAUAGAACUGCCAUUGAUACUGUAAGUCUUGAGUAUAUUUGAGGUAGCUGGAAUAAGUAGUGUAGCGGUGAAAUGCAUAGAUAUUACUUAGAACACCAAUUGCGAAGGCAGGUUACCAAGAUAUAACCGACGCUGAGGGACGAAAGCGUGGGUAGCGAAC
rnacentral:rRNA from 1 species